GAUGAACGCUGGCGGCGUGCCUAAUACAUGCAAGUCGAGCGAAAGGACGAGAAGCUUGCUUCUCUGAUGAUAGCGGCGGACGGGUGAGUAACACGUGGAUAACCUAACUAUAAGACUGGGAUAACAUCGGGAAACAGGAGCUACUAACGGAUAAUAUUUUGCACCGCAUGGUUCACAAGUGAAAGAAGGUCUUGCUGUCACUUAUAGCUGGAUACGCGCUGCAUUAGCUAGUUGGUAAGGUAAAGGCUUAACAAGGCAAGGAGGGAUAGCCGACCUGAGAGGGACGUCGCCCACAUGGGAUCUGAGACUGAGCCCAGACUCCUACGCUGAGAAGCAGUAGGGAAUCUUCCGCGAUGCGGGAGUGCCGGACGUUGCAACGCCGCGGGAGGGAUGAACGACUUCUGAUCGGAGAGCGCUGAAAGCAUGAAGGAUGAAAUGUGUUAUUAACUGUGAACAUCUUGACAGUACCGAGUCAAAAAGCUACGGCUAACUCCGUG
rnacentral:rRNA from 1 species